rnacentral:misc_RNA from 1 species
UGGACUUGGAUGUUGCCGUGAAUAAACAAACAGCUCGUCUGAAAUGCAUUAGCCGUGCUGGUUAGAUUCGGCACCUGGUGUGAUAAACAUCUACGCCUACCGUGCUGUUUCUCCCUGAGCGUGGCUCAUAAUCGUCGCUCGUUCGACAACACAAUUAACGCUCUGGCCUCAAAUCAGGUAGGACUACCCGCUGAACUUAA